UACGUAGGGUGCAAGCGUUGUCCGGAAUUAUUGGGCGUAAAGAGCUCGUAGGCGGCUCGGUAAGUCGGGUGUGAAAUUUCGAGGCUUAACCUCGAAACGCCACCCGAUACUGCUGUGGCUAGAGUCCGGUAGGGGAGCGUGGAAUUCCUGGUGUAGCGGUGAAAUGCGCAGAUAUCAGGAGGAACACCAAUUGCGAAGGCAGCUCGCUGGGACGUUACUGACGCUGAGACGCGAAAGCGUGGGGAGCAAACAGG
rnacentral:rRNA from 1 species